rnacentral:rRNA from 1 species
CGGACGGGUGAGUAACGCGUGAGAAUCUGCCCUCAGGAGGGGGACAACAGCUGGAAACGGCUGCUAAUACCCCAUAUGCCGCGAGGUGAAAUGAAUUUCGCCUGAGGAUGAGCUCGCGCCUGAUUAGCUAGUUGGUGAGGUAAUGGCUCACCAAGGCAUCGAUCAGUAGCUGGUCUGAGAGGAUGAUCAGCCACACUGGGACUGAGACACGGCCCAGACUCCUACGGGAGGCAGCAGUGGGGAAUUUUCCGCAAUGGGCGAAAGCCUGACGGAGCAACGCCGCGUGAGGGAUGAAGGCCUCUGGGCUGUAAACCUCUUUUAUCAAGGAAGAAGAUCUGACGGUACUUGAUGAAUAAGCCACGGCUAAUUCCGUGCCAGCAGCCGCGGUAAUACGGGAGUGGCAAGCGUUAUCCGGAAUUAUUGGGCGUAAAGCGUCCGCAGGCGGCCCUUCAAGUCUGCUGUUAAAAAGUGGAGCUUAACUCCAUCAUGGCAGUGGAAACUGUUGGGCUUGAGUGUGGUAGGGGCAGAGGGAAUUCCCGGUGUAGCGGUGAAAUGCGUAGACAUCGGGAAGAACACCAGUGGCGAAGGCGCUCUGCUGGGCCAUCACUGACGCUCAUGGACGAAAGCCAGGGGAGCGAAUGGGAUUAGAUACCCCAGUAGUC